GGGGAUUCCCAUGAUGCAGUGAGUAUUUCUUCUUCAGUCACCUUUCUCACUCACUAUGUGUUUAUACACCUUUCUGCAUUGAAUCAUUACUUAUUAGUAAGUAAGUUGUAAAAUUUAUUUAUAUAGCACUUUAAGAGUAUUACAAAGUGCUUCACAUGAGACUAUAAAAGCAUAUGAAAUAAAACAACAUAUUACACAUAAACAUUACCCAAAUGCCUGUCUAAACAGAUGUGUUUUAAGUUGUUUCUUAACCUCCUAGGACCUGGCAUCCACAUAUGUGGACAUCACAUUUUCGGUUGUCUAGACCAAAAUACAAAAUUUUGCUCUACAAAGGCCUGAUAUCCACUUACGAGGACAUUAUACUACUACUGUUCUAUCAAAAUUAAAACAAAUGUCCUCAUAUGUGGAUCUCAUUUUUCUCAGAAACAAAAAUCAGGCAAAAAAAAAAAAAUUGCUAAUUCUUUGUCCCAAUCAGCCCAAAUAGCAAAGAAAAAUUAAAAAAAGCAUGCCAUGAAAGAGUUCGGGUCUUAGGAGGUUAAAAGAAGCCACAGAGGUGAUGCUGGGUAGCGAGGGAGCUAAACUGUUCCACAAUAUUGGAGCUAGAGUUUGAAAAGCGCAAUCCCCUUUGUUUUCAAACAGGUCUGUGGAAUAGUAAGAAGACCACUAUCAGUGGAUCUGGCAUAUGGCUGGUGCUCCCUCAGCCUGGUUGUACUGGAGGGUUCUUCCUUUUAAAAGGGAGUUUUUCCUUCCCACUGUUGCCAAAGCACAUGCUCAUCAGAGGUCAUAUGACUGUUGUUUUUUUUUUCUCUGUAUUUUCUCUCUUCCACAUCGAAAGGAUCCAGUGAAAGUAGUUCUGGCAUGUGACAAGGAUUCCACCUGGGCGUCUCCCAGGUGAGGUGUACUGGCUGUGUCCAACCAGCGGAGGCCCUGGAUCAGACCCAGGACCUGAUGGAGUUCCCCUGGAUAAGCUGGAGGAGGUGGCUGUGGAGAGGGAGGACACCAGGAGAGAUGAGCAUAUCCAGCCCACAUCUGCAGCAACUGUACUUAAGGGAAGUUGGGACAAUGUUAAAGACUUUCUCCACGCAAUUGCACUUGGAUUAGCUAAAUUCAUGACAGGCAUUCAAGCAGUAAUGUCUGGACUGACAACCAAACAUACCAAGCUUCUGUGGUUGAGCCAGAGACUGCACUUGUGGAUGAACAAUACAAACAUAUUAUAUUUAUUAUAUCAGUAAUGUAACUUGCAACAAAAAGUUAUGGGAAGCUUAAACUUAGUUUCAGAAUAAUUAAAUCUGAGACUGGUACAGUUAGCAAAGUGUGAUCCACUGAACAAAGUGAGGAAGCUGAUCCACUUUGACAUGUCUGUUGUGAAAAGACUUUAUUGGAUUCCUACAUCCAGGUAGGUCUGGAUAGCUGCUUGUCCCUUAAAAAAUAAUUCUUCAUUUAAAACCUGCAUUUUGUAUACACUCAGAUCUUGGUCUAUUAUUAAAAGUGUGAUAUUUAACAACAACAAAUAUAUAUUAAUAUUAAUAUUAUAUUUUAUAAUAUUUUUUAAGUCUACGUAAAUAUCACAUCAUCAUCAACCCGUCCCUUCAUCUGGUUUUGUUGACUGUGGAGAACAGUGCACAUGGAGACUCUCCUGUUUCCUGACUUCUGUCUCUGAAAACAGAGAAGAAGAUUUCAUGAUUUGGAGGAUAUAGCAUCAACUGAAAUCAUUUCCAUUAAUGGUGAAAAAGAACAGUAAAAGCAGUGAGUUUGUUUCUUAGACAUGAGAGGACAGUCUCUCUCACCUCUUGGCUGCACUGCCUCUGUUAAAUCUAACAGCAGUGUACUCAGUAACUUCCUGUUCCUGCAUUUGUCUGUGAGGCUGAGCUGCUCUGAUGUUGGAGUAGAGAGGAUCUGCCUGGUUAUUGGAGAAGUGGAUGCUGGUGUACUGAAGAUCAUCCUGCUCCUCUGGCUGUCUCUGGUCAGGUAAACACUGUAUAGGAAAAGAGAUCUCAGCUACAAAUGUGAUCAAAUGUAUUUGAGUUAAAGAACAACAGCAAAGAAGGAUUUGGGAGUCCACCAGGAAGUUUAAAACCACAAUGUUGGUUAUUUGUACAACACUGAUGUGACUGUUUUCACCUGUUCUCUGUUGUUGGCUCUGUCUUCAGAUUUAACAGGUUCCUUGGACAUCCU
ensembl:lncRNA